rnacentral:tRNA from 1 species
UUAGCUCAUUUGGUACAGCAUCUUAUUUGUAAUCAGAGGGUCACGUGUUCAAUUCAU